rnacentral:other from 1 species
GACACCCUGCAGUGUUCGAGGCGUUUUCAAUAACUGCUCUCUCCUUUGAUAAAAUUCGGGAUCCGGAACGGGUGGUGGAGUGCUAGGCCGUAAAUCGGAAAGCAUGAAGCCGCUCGGAGGAGCCCACCUAGUCAUAAAAAGGUUCUCGAGCCUUUGAGCGCACGGCACAGGCGGGGUGUCA